AUGCACGCUGGCGGCGUGCCUCAUCCCUGCCAGUCGAGCGAACAGACGAGGAGCUUGCUCCUCUGACGUUGGCGGCGGACGGGUGAGUAACACGUGGAUAACCUACCUAUAAGACUGGGAUAACUUCGGGAAACCGGAGCUAAUACCGGAUAAUAUAUUGAACCGCAUGGUUCAAUAGUGAAAGACGGUUUUGCUGUCACUUAUAGAUGGAUCCGCGCCGCAUUAGCUAGUUGGUAAGGUAACGGCUUACCAAGGCAACGAUGCGUAGCCGACCUGAGAGGGUGAUCGGCCACACUGGAACUGAGACACGGUCCAGACUCCUACGGGAGGCAGCAGUAGGGAAUCUUCCGCAAUGGGCGAAAGCCUGACGGAGCAACGCCGCGUGAGUGAUGAAGGUCUUCGGAUCGUAAAACUCUGUUAUUAGGGAAGAACAAAUGUGUAAGUAACUAUGCACGUCUUGACGGUACCUAAUCAGAAAGCCACGGCUAACUACGUG
rnacentral:rRNA from 1 species